CAAAUUCAAGGUUUGGGAAGACACUAGGCGGCCUUGGCCGAGGUUGGAUCGUUAGCAACUGGCUUGAGUCGCCCACCACAUCUGCCCAUCCAUAAUGAGGUUCCGCCCUUCAACAAUUUCUCAAUACUUGUCAAUUUUCUCUUCAAAUACAUAAGUAUAUACAUAGAAAUGCAGAUAAGAAUUUGCUUCUUCUUACUCAUAAUACGUCUCCUCAUGAACAACUAAAUCCCAGCUUUCACCAGUUGUGCUCUUCCCAUAUUUGUGAACUUUCCUGUUUACCAACCAAAGAGAAUUUUAGUCUCUCCUGUGUAGAAUUGAAUCAAAGAGAAAUACAAAUGAAAAUGAUAAACAAAUAAAUAAACACGGUCCAGUUAUGAUUCAGAAUGCAAUUUAGCACAAGGAAAUGUGCUAUAAAAACAUGGAAAUUCUAAAGCUAACAAUGAAAGUCGUUCCAUACCCAUUUCCGAAAUGCUCCUCACCCCAUGUUCUUGACCAACCUAUUAGACCAGAAUACCUUAGUUACAAAAGUUACAAUAAAUGAAUCAAUUCAAUGAGCAAGUAAGGCAUACAUGAAAUACCAUGACGAUUGAGCUUUAUAGUGUGUAAUCUCAGGCAUAAAAUCCCUUAGGCCAUUUCUAUACCAAGAUUAACAAAAGUUUGUAAACGAUUUCAUUUUUAGUGACCCAUUAAAGCAUAGCUUGUACUAAGUAGAUGUGAUAAGAUCAUAAGAACUAUAUAUCAUACAGAUCAUUAUCAAUGCCAUGAAAGGGAACAACAUUGAACCAAUAGGCCUUUACUUCCCAUUGAAGACAAAAGAACACACUUGUUCAAUGCCUGUACAUAAAUUUCAGGUCUCCUCAUCCGUGGAUGAAUAAAAAGUUGCAUUGAAAAACUAAAAUAGUCUUCCCAGAAAAUCUUGUCACAACUCAAAACAGUUAAACAAUCCAGUUCGGUUGUGCAUUUCACUUUGACCAUUAAGAUUUAAGUCAGGUGCCUGGAGAGAUGCUCAAGAGAAUGUUUAUUUUCGUUGCGCAAACUGAAACAGGUUUUGGCCUACGGCUAUGGUGGUCAUCCUAAGUGCACACUUCAGAGAAAUACCAAAAGUAGUUUUUGCUUAAGGAGCAUGAGCAAAUAAUAAUAAUAAUCAAUGGCUACUCAUCCAACCUAUGAGAUGCUAUGCAAAACCCAAAUUUGAAAUAAAAACUAUCACAUUAUGCAUCAGAAGUAGAAAAAAUCAAAUGAAUAUACAUACGGUCGCCACUUGCAGAUACAUGCCAUGUCUCCCCUUGACGUGAACCAACACCAGCAAAGAAUUUCUCUUCCCACUUAUCUCCCCAUCUUGUUCCCACUUCAGUCUUAGCCCAUUUAUCUGUCCUGAAAAUUAUCAAAAUAGAAGAUUUAAUGCAACCACAGGAAAGUGCUUGGGAUAGGAAGGUGAUGCCAAGUAGGAAAGCACAAGAGAAGAAAAGUGUAUAAUCUCAAUAUCAGAAAAAGUUUUCCUAUGAAGAUAAAAGGAAAGGUCGUUGAAAUUUCCAUCAAUGUAAGAACAAUCUUCCCAGAAAAAAACAUGGCAUGUAUCGUGGUUUCUCUCGAAUGACCAUUGGUGCAAAAAGAUCAUGAAUCUGAACUACUAAAUUAAUUCAAAUCUAGUAGUCAACUAGCACACUGAGUGGUUUUGCAUAAAAAGCUUAAUUGAAAAUUACCAUUUGAGAACAGAUCCUCUUCCAUCAUAAUGCUCUCCCCAUUUCUCCCACCAUGACUGUUCAUUCAACCUACCAUACUUAUGUGCCCCUUUCUCUGUCCACCCUUUAGCAUCAUACUUCUCCCACCUACCAAAAUAAGUUUAUCAUCAAUAGGAAGUAUUAAUAGUAAAAAUAUAUAGCAAAAAUCGAAUCUAAUAUCAUAAAUUCCAUACAUUGAUUUAUAACUUACCAUUUCUCAUGCCAACCCGCAUUUUCACUACCUGAUUUAGCUUGCUUCUGAGCACUCUUCUCUAUGUGUGCUAAAUUGCUGCAUUUUUAAAGAUGUAGUAAUGAUUGCACUGAUGAAAAAUUGCAUGCAUAGUAAACUGGAAAGAUCAUAUUUGCCUCUAUGUGACAAUUGACAAAAUUGAAGUAUUCACUGAUCAGGUGAAUGAUGUGGAAAUAAAGACCUCCAUUGAUCUUGAUGAAGCAAUUCUUGCCAAGUUUCCCACCAUGAAUCUCCUUCAGCAUUUCUUCCUGACUUCUCAACACCUAUGAAAUAUAAACUCUGGUAAAAGUAACUCAAAUACAUGCUCAGAUGAUUUUAGAGUCAUUUCGGCAAGAAUAAAGCAUGAGAAAUUAAUUAACACAAUUAGGUGAUACAAUAAAGCAAUGUAGUGGUGAUAGAAUAAAGCAAU
rnacentral:lncRNA from 1 species